ACGAGUGGCGAACGGCUGAGUAAUACAUCGGAACGUGCCCGAGAGUCGGGGAUAACGGAGCGAAAGCUCUGCUAAUCCCGCAUACGAUCUACGGAUGAAAGCAGGGGACCGCAAGGCCUUGCGCUCAUGGAGCGACCGAUGGCAGAUUAGGUAGUUGGUGGGAUAAAAGCUUACCAAGCCGACGAUCUGUAGCUGGUCUGAGAGGACGACCAGCCACACUGGGACUGAGACACGGCCCAGACUCCUACGGGAGGCAGCAGUGGGGAAUUUUGGACAAUGGGCGAAAGCCUGAUCCAGCCAUGCCGCGUGCAGGAUGAAGGCCUUCGGGUUGUAAACUGUCUUUUGUACGGAACGAAAAGACUCUGGUUAAUACGUGGGGUUCCAUGACGGUACCGUAAGAAUAAGCACCGGCUAACUACGUGCCAGCAGCCGCGGUAAUACGUAGGGUGCAAGCGUUAAUCGGAAUUACUGGGCGUAAAGCGUGCGCAGGCGGUUAUAUAAGACAGAUGUGAAAUCCCCGGGCUCAACCUGGGAACUGCAUUUGUGACUGUAUAGCUAGAGUACGGUAGAGGGGGAUGGAAUUCCGCGUGUAGCAGUGAAAUGCGUAGAUAUGCGGAGGAACACCGAUGGCGAAGGCAAUCCUCUGGACCUGUACUGACGCUCAUGCACGAAGCGUGGGGAGCAAACA
rnacentral:rRNA from 1 species